GACGUAGGGGGCGAGCGUUGUCCGGAAUUACUGGGCGUAAAGGGCUCGUAGGCGGCCAACUAAGUCGGAUGUGAAAUCCCCAAGCUUAACUUGGGAACUGCAUCCGAUACUGGAUGGCUUGAAUCCGGGAGAGGGAUGCAGAAUUCCAGGUGUAGCGGUGAAAUGCGUAGAUAUCUGGAGGAAUACCGGUGGCGAAGGCGGCAUCCUGGACCGGCAUUGACGCUGAGGAGCGAAAGCUAGGGGAGCAAACGGG
rnacentral:rRNA from 1 species